rnacentral:tRNA from 1 species
GGUAAUGUAGCUUAGUGGCAGAGGGCUUGCCUAGCAUGCAGGAAGCCCUGGGUUCAAUUCCUCAGCACCA